rnacentral:lncRNA from 1 species
CUGGGUCAAACUACUCUCGCCCUUAGACGGACCGAAUCCUGCUCAACUUGGGCCGAAGUAAGUGAAGAAAAUAUCAGAAAAAAAUAAAGUAAAAUCAAUUGGACUUGUCUAUUUUUUUUAAAAAAAAAACGGCAGGAGAGUUGCCGAAAUUUUUAUUAGAAGGUUGAUCUAAUUGAAGAAAAAUUGUGCUGACUUGCCGAGGCAGGCCCAUCCACCAAUCAUCGAUCCAUAAUUAGGUCCCUGAUAAAUGAAUUAAGAGGAGGUAGAACUACUUUUUUUUUCUUCUUCACCCGUUCUAACUUGUCUGAGUUCUGUAGCAACUAGCAAGGAACCAGAACAACAAAGAGUCGUCGCAAUAUGAUUUUGGCUUCUGUGAAUUCAAUUCUAAUAACUUCUCUAAAUUGUUCUAGCUACUGUAGGUCAGUGCGCGUCAUAGCUUGAGUUAAUAGACGCACAGGGUCGUCAAUCCUCUUGCCAACAGUACUCGAUAUACUCCAUGCAUUCACAAAAAAAAAGAUGCAAGUUCAGGUUAUUUGGUUGAGACAAACGAUUUAAAGUUCAGGUUACCGGCAGCACGGCACGGGCGGCGGCCCCUCCUGACGUGUGAGCAACCGCGCACUAUCAUAGUAGGGAUGAUGAGCAGCUAGCAGCAAGCAUGCUCCCGGCGCAGCUCCUGCCCCCGGA